GUUUUAAUAGUUUAAAAAAAACGCCGGUCUUGUAAGUCGGAAAUAAGGUCAGCCCCCCCUUUUAAAACU
rnacentral:tRNA from 1 species